GUGCUCACUUCAGCACAUAUGCUAAAAUUGGAAUGACAAAGAGGGAUUAGCAUGGCCCCUGCUCAAGGAUGACAGGCAAAUUCAUAGAAUUACUUUCAUUAUGA
rfam:Canis lupus familiaris chromosome 23, whole genome shotgun sequence.